rnacentral:rRNA from 1 species
UGACCUCAAAUCAGGUAGGACUACCCGCUGAACUUAAGCAUAUCAAUAAGCGGAGGAAAAGAAACUAACAAGGAUUCCCCUAGUAACUGCGAGUGAAGCGGGAAAAGCUCAAAUUUAAAAUCUGGCGGUUCUUGUAGCCGUCCGAGUUGUAAUUUAGAGAAGUGUUAUCCGCGCUGGACCGUGUACAAGUCUCCUGGAAUGGAGCGUCAUAGAGGGUGAGAAUCCCGUCUUUGACACGGACUGCCAGGGCAUUGUGAUGCGCUCUCGAAGAGUCGAGUUGUUUGGGAAUGCAGCUCAAAAUGGGUGGUAAAUUCCAUCUAAAGCUAAAUAUUGGGGAGAGACCGAUAGCGAACAAGUACCGUGAGGGAAAGAUGAAAAGAACUUUGGAAAGAGAGUUAAACAGUACGUGAAAUUGCUGAAAGGGAAACGCUUGAAGUCAGUCGCGUCGUUCAGGACUCAGCCUUGCUUUUGCUUGGUGUACUUCUUGUUCGACGGGUCAGCAUCAAUUUUGGUCGGUGGAUAAAGGCUUAGAGAAUGUGGCAUCUUCGGGUGUGUUAUAGCUCUGGGUCGCAUACAUCGGCUGGGAUUGAGGAACUCAGCACGCCGCAAGGCCGGGUACUUGUACCACGUACGUGCUAGGAUG